AUUGAACGCUGGCGGCAGGCCUAACACAUGCAAGUCGAACGGUAACAGGAAGAAGCUUGCUUCUUUGCUGACGAGUGGCGGACGGGUGAGUAAUGUCUGGGAAACUGCCUGAUGGAGGGGGAUAACUACUGGAAACGGUAGCUAAUACCGCAUAACGUCGCAAGACCAAAGAGGGGGACCUUCGGGCCUCUUGCCAUCGGAUGUGCCCAGAUGGGAUUAGCUAGUAGGUGGGGUAACGGCUCACCUAGGCGACGAUCCCUAGCUGGUCUGAGAGGAUGACCAGCCACACUGGAACUGAGACACGGUCCAGACUCCUACGGGAGGCAGCAGUGGGGAAUAUUGCACAAUGGGCGCAAGCCUGAUGCAGCCAUGCCGCGUGUAUGAAGAAGGCCUUCGGGUUGUAAAGUACUUUCAGCGGGGAGGAAGGGAGUAAAGUUAAUACCUUUGCUCAUUGACGUUACCCGCAGAAGGAGCACCGGCUAACUCCGUG
rnacentral:rRNA from 1 species